GGCCCCUACGGGGGGCAGCAGUGGGGAAUAUUGCACAAUGGGCGAAAGCCUGAUGCAGCAACGCCGCGUGAAGGAAGACGGUUUUCGGAUUGUAAACUUCUGUUCUUAGUGAAGAGUAAUGACGGUAACUAAGGAGCAAGCCACGGCUAACUACGUGCCAGCAGCCGCGGUAAUACGUAGGUGGCAAGCGUUGUCCGGAAUUACUGGGUGUAAAGGGAGCGUAGGCGGGAUAGUAAGUUGAUUGUUAAAACUAUCGGCUCAACUGGUAGAU
rnacentral:rRNA from 1 species